UACGAGGGGAGCAAGCGUUGUUCGGAUUUACUGGGCGUAAAGGGCGCGUAGGCGGCGUGACAAGUCACUUGUGAAAUCUCCGGGCUUAACUCGGAACGGUCAAGUGAAACUGUCGUGCUAGAGUACAGAAGGGGCGACUGGAAUUCUCGGUGUAGCGGUGAAAUGCGUAGAUAUCGAGAGGAACACCUGCGGCGAAGGCGGGUUGCUGGGCUGAUACUGACGCUGAUGCGCGAAAGCCAGGGGAGCGAACGGG
rnacentral:rRNA from 1 species